rnacentral:rRNA from 1 species
UACGUAGGGGGCUAGCGUUGUCCGGAUUUAUUGGGCGUAAAGAGCGUGUAGGCGGCCAGGUAGGUCUGCUGUGAAAACUCGAGGCUCAACCUCGAGACGUCGGCGGAAACCAUCUGGCUAGAGUCCGGAAGAGGAGAGUGGAAUUCCUGGUGUAGCGGUGAAAUGCGCAGAUAUCAGGAAGAACACCAGUGGCGAAGGCGGCUCUCUGGGACGGUACUGACGCUGAGACGCGAAAGCGUGGGGAGCGAGCAGG